UUGUUGGGUAGGGGAGCGUUCUGUAAGCCUGUGAAGGUGGCCUGUGAGGGUUGCUGGAGGUAUCAGAAGUGCGAAUGCUGACAUAAGUAACGAUAAAGCGGGUGAAAAGCCCGCUCGCCGGAAGACCAAGGGUUCCUGUCCAACGUUAAUCGGGGCAGGGUGAGUCGACCCCUAAGGCGAGGCCGAAAGGCGUAGUCGAUGGGAAACGGGUUAAUAUUCCCGUACUUGGUGUUACUGCGAAGGGGGGACGGAGAAGGCUAUGUUGGCCGGGCGACGGUUGUCCCGGUUUAAGCGUGUAGGCUGGUUUUCCAGGCAAAUCCGGAAAUCAAGGCUGAGGCGUGACGACGAGGCACUACGGUGCUGAAGCAACAAAUGCCCUGCUUCCAGGAAAAGCCUCUAAGCAUCAGGUAACAUCAAAUCGUACCCCAAACCGACACAGGUGGUCAGGUAGAGAAUACCAAGGCGCUUGAGAGAACUCGGGUGAAGGAACUAGGCAAAAUGGUGCCGUAACUUCGGGAGAAGGCACGCUGACACGUAGGUGAAGUGAUUUACUCAUGGAGCUGAAGUCAGUCGAAGAUACCAGCUGGCUGCAACUGUUUAUUAAAAACACAGCACUGUGCAAACACGAAAGUGGACGUAUACGGUGUGACGCCUGCCCGGUGCCGGAAGGUUAAUUGAUGGGGUCAGCGCAAGCGAAGCUCCUGAUCGAAGCCCCGGUAAACGGCGGCCGUAACUAUAACGGUCCUAAGGUAGCGAAAUUCCUUGUCGGGUAAGUUCCGACCUGCACGAAUGGCGUAAUGAUGGCCAGGCUGUCUCCACCCGAGACUCAGUGAAAUUGAACUCGCUGUGAAGAUGCAGUGUACCCGCGGCAAGACGGAAAGACCCCGUGAACCUUUACUAUAGCUUGACACUGAACAUUGAGCCUUGAUGUGUAGGAUAGGUGGGAGGCUUUGAAGUGUGGACGCCAGUCUGCAUGGAGCCGACCUUGAAAUACCACCCUUUAAUGUUUGAUGUUCUAACGUGGACCCGUAAUCCGGGUUGCGGACAGUGUCUGGUGGGUAGUUUGACUGGGGCGGUCUCCUCCUAAAGAGUAACGGAGGAGCACGAAGGUUGGCUAAUCCUGGUCGGACAUCAGGAGGUUAGUGCAAUGGCAUAAGCCAGCUUGACUGCGAGCGUGACGGCGCGAGCAGGUGCGAAAGCAGGUCAUAGUGAUCCGGUGGUUCUGAAUGGAAGGGCCAUCGCUCAACGGAUAAAAGGUACUCCGGGGAUAACAGGCUGAUACCGCCCAAGAGUUCAUAUCGACGGCGGUGUUUGGCACCUCGAUGUCGGCUCAUCACAUCCUGGGGCUGAAGUAGGUCCCAAGGGUAUGGCUGUUCGCCAUUUAAAGUGGUACGCGAGCUGGGUUUAGAACGUCGUGAGACAGUUCGGUCCCUAUCUGCCGUGGGCGCUGGAGAACUGAGGGGGGCUGCUCCUAGUACGAGAGGACCGGAGUGGACGCAUCACUGGUGUUCGGGUUGUCAUGCCAAUGGCACUGCCCGGUAGCUAAAUGCGGAAGAGAUAAGUGCUGAAAGCAUCUAAGCACGAAACUUGCCCCGAGAUGAGUUCU
rnacentral:rRNA from 1 species